rnacentral:ncRNA from 1 species
CGGUUGGGAGGUCCGCCGAUGUGGACCGCUGGGGUCUCGUACCCCGCCCGGCCGC